rnacentral:rRNA from 1 species
GUGCAGCAGGCGAGAAACUUCCACAAUGGGGAAACCCUGAUGGAGCGACGCCGCGUGCGGGAUGAAGGCCCUAUGGGUUGUAAACCGCUGUUCAGUGGAAAGAACAUCCUCCGGCUGAAUAGGUCGGAGGCCUGACGUUACCACUGCAGAAAGUCCCGGCAACUCCGUGCCAGCCAGCCGCGGUAAUACGGGGGGACGAGCGUUGUCCGGAAUCAUUGGGCGUAAAGGGCGCGUAAGGCGGCGAGGAAGUCGAAUGUGAAAUCUUGCGGCUCAACUGCAAAACUGCGUUCGAAACUUCCUCGCUUGAGUAUCGAGAGAGGUGUGCGGAAUUCCUGGUGUAGCGGUGGAAUGCGUAGAUAUC